GCCAUACCGACCAUUUAAAGCGAUUCCAACUCCGGCGAAGCCUGGCUGGAAAGACGCGGCUUCCAUCCCGGCAGCCUGGAGGAGGAUCGAGCAGGGGCUGUGCCUGGGCUUGCCUGGACUUGUUCAGAGAAGGGCUGCUCCCCUCGGUAACUGCACAGAUUGGGGGCUUUGGGAGACGUUGCCAGAACCUGGAAGCCACGGCCGGGGGCUACUGGGGCCCGGGGUCUGCGCACCUGCUCGCCGUGGAGCCCAGGACUGUGUCCAGACAAUUAACCACUGAUGGACGAAAGCAAGAGAGAUGUAUUAUUCUCUUGCAGUUCUGGAAGCCAACGUCUGCAACACAGCAGACUCCACCCAUCUGUAGUCUCUGUGAAGGGAUCUUGCCUCAGCUUCCGAAGACUGCCUGG
ensembl:lincRNA Gm13067 predicted gene 13067